UACGGAGGGUGCGAGCGUUGUCCGGAUUUAUUGGGUUUAAAGGGUGCGUAGGUGGUUUCUUAAGUCUGGUUUGAAAGUCGGCGGCUUAACCGUUGGAUGUGGCUGGAAACUGGGGGACUUGAAUGGGCUGGAGGUCACUGGAACGGGUCAUGUAGCGGUGAAAUGCUUAGAUAUGACAUAGAACACCGAUAGCGAAGGCAGCUUGCUACACAAUCAUUGACACUGAGGCACGAAAGCGUGGGGAUCAAACAGG
rnacentral:rRNA from 1 species